rnacentral:rRNA from 1 species
UGGAGCAAUCCAUGAGUACAGUGGCGUACGGGUGAGUAACACGUGGAUCAUCUACCUCUUAGUGGGGAAUAACCCUGGGAAACCGGGGCUAAUACCGCAUAAGCCUGAAAAGGGAAAGCAGCAAUGCGCUGAGAGAGGAGUCCGCGGCCGAUUAGCUAGUUGGUAGGGUAAUGGCCUACCAAGGCAAUGAUCGGUAGCCGGCCUGAGAGGGCACACGGCCACACUGGCACUGAAACACGGGCCAGACUCCUACGGGAGGCAGCAGUGGGGAAUCUUGCACAAUGGAGGAAACUCUGAUGCAGCGACGCCGCGUGAGCGAUGAAGCCCUUCGGGGUGUAAAGCUCUUUCGACGGGAACGAUAAUGACGGUACCCGGAGAAGAAGCUGCGGCUAACUACGUGCCAGCAGCCGCGGUAAUACGUAGGCAGCAAGCGUUGUUCGGAAUUACUGGGCGUAAAGAGUGUGUAGGCGGUUCUCUAUGUUCGGUGUGAAAUCUCCCGGCUUAACUGGGAGGGUGCGCCGAAAACUGGAGGGCUUGAGUAUGGGAGAGGAAAGCGGAAUUCCUGGUGUAGCGGUGAAAUGCGUAGAUAUCAGGAGGAACACCUGCGGUGUAGACGGCUUUCUGGACCAUCACUGACGCUGAGACACGAAAGCGUGGGUAGCAAACAGGAUUAGAUACCCUGGUAGUCCACGCCCUAAACGAUGCAUACUUGGUGUGAGCCGUUCAUUCGGUUCG